CGCGGCCUAUCAGCUUGUUGGUGAGGUAACGGCUCACCAAGGCAUCGACGGGUAGCUGGUCUGAGAGGACGAAUAGCCACACUGGGACUGAGACACGGCCCAGACUCCUACGGGAGGCAGCAGCAGGGAAUCUUGCACAAUGGACGAAAGUCUGAUGCAGCGACGCCGCGUGAGGGAUGAAGGCCCUCGGGUUGUAAACCUCUUUCAGGAGGGACGAAGCGAAAGUGACGGUACCUCCAGAAGAGGCCCCGGCCAACUACGUGCCAGCAGCCGCGGUAAUACGUAGGGGGCGAGCGUUGUCCGGAUUCAUUGGGCGUAAAGAGCUCGUAGGCGGCUCAGUAAGUCGGCCGUGAAAGCCCGGAGCUCAACUCCGGGACGCCGGUCGAUACUGCUGUGGCUAGGGUCCGGUAGAGGAGAGUGGAAUUCCCGGUGUAGCGGUGAAAUGCGCAGAUAUCGGGAGGAACACCAGUAGCGAAGGCGGCUCUCUGGGCCGGUACCGACGCUGAGGAGCGAAAGCUAGGGGAGCAAACAGGAUUAGAUACCCUGGUAGUCCUAGCCGUAAACGUUGGGCACUAGGUGUGGCGGAUUCAUUGACAUCUGCCGUGCCGGCGCUAACGCAUUAAGUGCCCCGCCUGGGGAGUACGG
rnacentral:rRNA from 1 species